CGGUAGCUGCAGGAUGCCCCCCUGUCUGCGCGGGGAAGCCGCCAUUGCUGUUUUGCUCAAGGAUGCAGGGAAACUGACUUUGGGACAGCCAUUAACUGUGUUAUCCUCCCAUACGAUAAAAGCUCUGGUCCAGCAGCCCCCAGAUCAAGUGGUGUUCAGACCAGUUGUCUCCCUCAACCCCGCAACCCUGCUGCCUGGUUCACGGAUGGGAGCAGCUUCCUCCAAGAAGAAGAACGGAGGGCCGGAGCGGCCGUCACCACCGAAUCGGAGAUAGUUUGGACCUCACCACUGCCACCUGAAACAUCGGCCCAAAAGGCAGAGCUGAUCGCGCUGACCCAGGCCCUCCGGAUGAUGAAAGCCUGGAGGACCAGGAACUAACAAAGAAAAUGGGGGCGAAAUAGAGCCCUGAGCGACAAGCUUACAUCAUAGAUGGACAGAGGCCUUGCCUACCAAGAAAAAAGACCGCUAACGUGGUAACCAAAAAACUCCUGGAUGUCAUCUUUCCCAGGUAUGGAAUGCCCCAGAUAUUGGGGUCAGACAAUGGGCCCGCCUUUGUCUCCCAGCCCUCCAACUGAUGCAAAAGACGGUGUAAAAACCCCUGCCUGCCGGGAGCAACUGAACCGCCCAGUGGUGCCUCACCCAUUCAAGAUUGGGGACUCUGUCUGGGUCCGACGCCAUCAAUCUAGGAACCUAGAGCCGAGGU